GACGAACGCUGGCGGCGUGCUUAACACAUGCAAGUCGAACGGAAAGGCCCCUUUGGGGGUACUCGAGUGGCGAACGGGGGAGUAACACGUGAGUAACCUGCCCUUGACUUCGGGACAACUAUAGCAAACUGGGGCUAAUGCCGGAUAGGAAUCCUUGCUUCAUGGUGGGGGUUGGAAAGUUUCGGCGGUUUUGGAUGGACUGGCGGCGUAUCAGCUUGUUGGUGGGGUAGUGGGUUACCAAGGCUUUGACGGGUAGCCGGCCUGGGGGGGCGACCGGCCACCUUGGGACUGAGGGACGGCCCAGAUUCCUACGGGAGGCAGCAGUGGGGAAUCUUGCCCAAUGGGCGGCGGCCUGGUGAAGAAGCGCCGCGUGCGGGAUGACGGCCUUAGGGUUGAAAACCGAUUUCAGAAGGAGCGAAGCUUGUGGUGACGGUACCUGCAGAAGAAGCACCGGCUAACUACGUG
rnacentral:rRNA from 1 species